AUGGUGUUUGGGGGCGGAGAUUGGCCUCCCGUGCUUUUGGUGUGGUUGGCCUAAAUAGGAGUCCCCUUUGGUGGAUACACGGCUAGUGGUGGUUGUAUAGACCCUCGUCUUGUGCUGUGUAUUGCGAGCCUUAUGGGAAACUCUCAUCAAUGACCCAAUGUAUCGUCUUCUGACGAUGCUUCGACCGCGACCCCAGGUCAGGCGGGACUACCCGCUGAU
rnacentral:rRNA from 1 species